AAGUCGUAACAAGGUUUCUGUAGGUGAACCUGCGGAAGGAUCAUUAGUGAAUAUUAGGACGUUCAAUUUAACUUGAAGUCCGAACUCUCACUCUCUAACCCUGUGCAUUUGUUUUGGUUAGUAGGAUCUUAGUAUCUGAACGCCUCUUCAUUUUACAAACACAAAGUCUAUGAAUGUUUAAAUUUUAUAACAAAACAAAACUUUCAACAACGGAUCUCUUGGCUCUCGC
rnacentral:misc_RNA from 1 species